rnacentral:sRNA from 1 species
AGAUGUGAUGACAAGCUGGGUGUAAUAUGUCAUCCUAUUGAUCAUUAAGACUAAAUUGGCUGGAUAAGGAGAGAUCUCCUUUACUCACUUCUCCCUAUGUAUCCCUUUGAAAGCUUUGUGCACAGUGGAAGAGGAUGACUCUUGAUAUAAAAGGAGUGUACUGAUCUUCAGCCAAGGGUAUAUAGUAGCUAUGCUCCUCUGCUAGCUCAAAGUCCUCCAAACAAGCUCAAAGUCAAUAUGGUUUUCUUU